rnacentral:rRNA from 1 species
CCGUACCUACGGGGCGCAGCAGUGGGGAAUAUUGGGCAAUGGGCGCAAGCCUGACCCAGCAACGCCGCGUGAAGGAAGAAGGCUUUCGGGUUGUAAACUUCUUUUCUCAGGGACGAAGCAAGUGACGGUACCUGAGGAAUAAGCCACGGCUAACUACGUGCCAGCAGCCGCGGUAAUACGUAGGUGGCAAGCGUUAUCCGGAUUUACUGGGUGUAAAGGGCGUGUAGGCGGGGACGCAAGUCAGAUGUGAAAACCAGGGGCUCAACCUGUGGCCUGCAUUUGAAACUGGGUUUCUUGAGUACUGG